GGAUGAACGCUGGCGGCGUGCCUAAUACAUGCAAGUCGAACGAGGUGCCUUUGUAGCAAUACGAGGGUAUCCUAGUGGCGAACGGGUGAGUAACGCGUUGGUGACCUGCCCCGAAGUGUGGGAUAACAGUCCGAAAGGACUGCUAAUACCGCAUGCGGCCAUCGGGUUUAGAAACCGAUGUCCAAAGCAGCAAUGCGCUUUGGGAGGGACCUGCGUCCCAUCAGCUAGUUGGUAGGGUAACGGCCUACCAAGGCGACGACGGGUAGGGGACCUGAGAGGGUGACCCCCCACAAUGGAACUGAAAUACGGUCCAUACACCUACGGGUGGCAGCAGUAGGGAAUAUUGCACAAUGGGCGAAAGCCUGAUGCAGCAACGCCGCGUGCACGAUGAAGGUCUUCGGAUCGUAAAGUGCUUUUCUGGGAGAUGAGAAAGGACAGUAUCCCAGGAAUAAGUCUCGGCUAACUACGUGCCAGCAGCCGCGGUAAAACGUAGGAGGCAAGCGUUAUCCGGAUUCACUGGGCGUAAAGCGCGUGCAGGCGGCUCGGUAAGUUGGGCGUGAAAUCUUCUGGCUUAACUAGGAGAGGCCGUUCAAUACUACCGGGCUAGAGAGCAGUAGAGGAAGAUGGAAUUCCCGGUGUAGUGGUGAAAUGCGUAGAUAUCGGGAGGAACACCAGUGGCGAAGGCGAUCUUCUGGACUGUUUCUGACGCUCAGACGCGAAAGCUAGGGUAGUAAACGGGAUUAGAGACCCCGGUAAUCCUAGCCGUAAACGAUGUGAACUUGGCGUCGGUAGCUUAAACACUAUCGGUGCCGUAGCAAACGCGAUAAGUUCACCGCCUGGGGACUACGAUUGCAAGAUUAAAACUCAAAGGAAUUGACGG
rnacentral:rRNA from 1 species